CUCUUUUUGAUUUUAAUUUAAAGUUUGGCCUGCCCACUGAAAUUUGAAGGGCCGCAGUAUUUUGACUGUGCAAAGGUAGCAUAAUCAUUAGUUUUUUAAUUGAAAGCUUGUAUGAAUGGUUUGAUGAGAAAAUUACUGUUUCAAUUUUAUUAAUAGAAUUUUAUUUUUAAGUUAAAAAGCUUAAAUAAGGUUUAAAGACGAGAAGACCCUAUAGAGUUUAACUAAAAAUUAAAUUAUAAAAUUUAGAAAUUUAAUUUUUUUAAUUUAAUUUGAGUUUUGUUGGGGUGAUAGAAAAAUUAAAUUAACUUUUUUUUUAUAAUUACAAUAAUAAUUGAAUUAUUGAUCCAAAAAAAUGAUUAUAAGAUUAAAUUACCUUAGGGAUAACAGCGUAAUCUUUUUAAUAGUUCUUAUUGAAAAAAAGGUUUGCGACCUCGAUGUUGGAUUAAAAUUUAUUUUUGGUGUAGAAGCUAAAAUAUUAGGUCUGUUCGACCUUUAAAAUUUUACAUGAUCUGAGUUU
rnacentral:rRNA from 1 species